ACGGGUGAGUAACACGUGGGCAACCUGCCUGUAAGACUGGGAUAACUUCGGGAAACCGGAGCUAAUACCGGAUAACAUAUGAGACCACAUGGUCUCAUAUUAAAAGAUGGCCUCGGCUAUCACUUACAGAUGGGCCCGCGGCGCAUUAGCUAGUUGGUGAGGUAACGGCUCACCAAGGCGACGAUGCGUAGCCGACCUGAGAGGGUGAUCGGCCACACUGGGACUGAGACACGGCCCAGACUCCUACGGGAGGCAGCAGUAGGGAAUCUUCCGCAAUGGACGAAAGUCUGACGGAGCAACGCCGCGUGAGCGAAGAAGGCCUUCGGGUCGUAAAGCUCUGUUGUUAGGGAAGAACAAGUAUCGUUCGAAUAGGGCGGUACCUUGACGGUACCUAACCAGAAAGCCACGGCUAACUACGUGCCAGCAGCCGCGGUAAUACGUAGGUGGCAAGCGUUAUCCGGAAUUAUUGGGCGUAAAGCGCGCGCAGGCGGUCCUUUAAGUCUGAUGUGAAAGCCCACGGCUCAACCGUGGAGGGUCAUUGGAAACUGGGGGACUUGAGUGCAGAAGAGGAGAGCGGAAUUCCACGUGUAGCGGUGAAAUGCGUAGAGAUGUGGAGGAACACCAGUGGCGAAGGCGGCUCUCUGGUCUGUAACUGACGCUGAGGCGCGAAAGCGUGGGGAGCGAACAGGAUUAGAUACCCUGGUAGUCCACGCCGUAAACGAUGAGUGCUAAGUGUUAGAGGGUUUCCGCCCUUUAGUGCUGCAGCAAACGCAUU
rnacentral:rRNA from 1 species